CCUACGGGUGGCUGCAGUGGGGAAUUUUGGACAAUGGGGGCAACCCUGAUCCAGCCAUGCCGCGUGAGUGAAGAAGGCCUUCGGGUUGUAAAGCUCUUUCGGGCGGAAAGAAAUCGCUCCGGUAAAUAAUCGGAGUGGAUGACGGUACCGCAAGAAGAAGCACCGGCUAACUACGUGCCAGCAGCCGCGGUAAUACGUAGGGUGCGAGCGUUAAUCGGAAUUACUGGGCGUAAAGCGUGCGCAGGCGGUUACAUAAGACAGAUGUGAAAUCCCCG
rnacentral:rRNA from 1 species